CUAAGUGGCGGACGGGUGAGUAAUGUAUAGUUAAUCUGCCCUUUAGAGGGGGAUAACAGUUGGAAACGACUGCUAAUACCCCAUACUCCUUUUACAUUAAUUGUAAUUGGGAAAUGUUUUUUCGCUAAAGGAUGAGACUAUAUGGUAUCAGGUAGUUGGUGGGGUAAGAGCCUACCAAGCCAAUGACGCCUAGCUGGUCUGAGAGGAUGAUCAGCCACACUGGAACUGAGACACGGUCCAG
rnacentral:rRNA from 1 species